AACGAACGCUGGCGGCAUGCCUAACACAUGCAAGUCGAACGUGAUCCGGAGCUUGCUCCGGUGAAAGUGGCGCACGGGUGAGUAACGCGUGGGAACCUGCCCAAUGGUAAGGAAUAACCGCGGGAAACUGCGGCUAAUACCUUAUGCUCCCUUCGGGGGAAAGAUUUAUCGCCUUUGGAUGGGCCCGCGUCGGAUUAGCUAGUUGGUGAGGUAACGGCUCACCAAGGCGACGAUCCGUAGCUGGUCUGAGAGGAUGAUCAGCCACACUGGGACUGAGACACGGCCCAGACUCCUACGGGAGGCAGCAGUGGGGAAUAUUGGACAAUGGGCGCAAGCUUGAUCCAGCAAUGCCGCGUGAGUGAUGAAGGCCUUAGGGUUGUAAAGCUCUUUCGGCGGGGAAGAUGAUGACGGUACCCGCAGAAGAAGCCCCGGCUAACUUCGUGCCAGCCGCCGCCGUAACAC
rnacentral:rRNA from 1 species